GAUGAACGCUAGCUACAGGCUUAACACAUGCAAGUCGAGGGGUAACGAGAGGGAAGCUUGCUUUCCUUGUCGACGACCGGCGCACGGGUGAGUAACGCGUAUCCAACCUGCCCCCAACUAGGGAAUAACCUUGCGAAAGUAAGACUAAUACCCUAUAAUUUCCUCAGAUGUCAUCUGACGAGGAAUAAAGAUUUAUCGGUUGUUGUUGGGGAUGGGUCUGAUUGGCUGGUUGGCGGGGUAACGGCCCACAAAGGCAACGAUCAGUAAGGGUUCUGAGAGGAAGGUCCCCCACAUUGGAACUGAGACACGGUCCAAACUCCUACGGGAGGCAGCAGUGAGGAAUAUUGGUCAAUGGGCGGAAGCCUGAACCAGCCAAGUAGCGUGCAGGAUGACGGCCCUAUGGGUUGUAAACUGCUUUUAUACAGGAAUAAAGUUAGCCACGUGUGGUUAUUUGUAGGUACUGUAUGAAUAAGGACCGGCUAAUUCCGUGCCAGCAGCCGCAGUAA
rnacentral:rRNA from 1 species